rnacentral:rRNA from 1 species
UACGUAGGUGACCAGCGUUGUCCGGAUUUACUGGGCGUAAAGAGCGCGCAGGCGGUCGUUCAAGUCGAGUGUGAAAGCCCCCCGGCUCAACUGGGGGAGGGUCAUUCGAUACUGAUCGACUGGAAGGCAGGAGAGGGAAGCGGAAUUCCCGGUGUAGUGGUGAAAUGCGUAGAUAUCGGGGAGGAACACCAGUGGCGAAGGCGGCUUCCUGGCCUGUUCUUGACGCUG